rnacentral:lncRNA from 1 species
GGGAGAGGUGGCUUGUGUGGGGGGAGGAGACUUUGGGAUCGUGCUCUGCUGAUCUUCCCUGCUUGCAGUCAAGGAGGGUGGGGACUGUCACCUGGGGCAGAAGGGAAAGGUGACUUUGCUGGGGGGGACAGAGGGAUGUGUUUGUGGCUGCAGUGCACACCUGGUCCAGAAUGCUCUGAACGCCUCCAGGAAAAGGCUUACUAGGGGGGAAAAAAAAAAAAAACAGCUAAAGACACACAGGACUCAGAGCACAAGAAUAUCCCGAAUGCAUUAUAUAAUGUGCUCCAUUCAAAGGAACAUUGUGAACCAACUUAGGAAGAGGAUCUUUUAAAAUGGCUUUCCUAAAAAUACUCCUCGGAAUGGGUCACAGGCUUGGAGCACCUGCCUGCAGAAAGUCCGGUUCCAGCACGUAGGUCGUGGACGGCGCUUGUGAGAGGCCCAGAAGGCCCUGUUCCUUAGCCCUGGUGGAGCACAGCAUGAGGUGGAGGGUGUGCAGGAAGGGGCUUUGGGGGGCCUUUCCGCCUUAUCUCGCGUCCCCCAGACCCCUCUCACUGGCCUCGUAAAGAAGCAGAUGGCGCCCCAGGAAUAGCUCCGAAAUCACGCUGGCUCCUGGCUGAAUGCAGAGGAAGGAUCAGGACCAUAAAGAUUUGAAAUCUCCCAGGAAAGGAAAUUAUUUCCUCCGUGAAAUUAUCGAUGGAAGGGGAGCAUUUAAAGAGACAGAAAUUACGAACCCCGAUUCAAGUUGAACCAGAUACUGCACUUUAACCUUUUUGAGACUCGUUAAUUUAAAAGCAAAUAGAAUGAAAUAUAGACUAUAAAAGCAAAUUAAAUCAUUUUUACACUUGCUGGGUUUUUGUGUCACGGGAUUGGAAAAGCUAAUCGAGAGAAGAGCGGCUUUUGGACAGAGGACCGUGGGGCUCGUGUCAGAUCAAGCCGAGGCAGUGAUCCUUCAGCAGCGGAGCGCAGCAGGCCGGCAGGGGCCCGGCUGGAGAGCCCCGCGGAGCCCCCUCUUAAGACCCAUCCCAGGUCUGACCAGAGCGAGCAGAGGUUUAAGGAGCGAGCAGAGGUUUAAGGAGCGUGUCUCUGAUUGAUGUGGGUGGAGCCCCGCCCCAGCAGUGGAUGUUUUAUGUGGAGGUGGGGGAAGCCGGGACCGUAGGUUACAUGUAUCUACCUGCAGGAAUAAAUCAUUCUUUUGAAACAUCACUAGAAGGGAGGGGGAGAGAAAAAAAAGCUGAAGAUUUAUCUGAAAAGGAAGUGGGACGUUAAAGUUGCUGGAGAUCUCAUUACUGUCUGUCUCGCUCACCGUAAUUAAAAAAUGCCUGAAUGAUCUUAAUAACACAUGAUUCAGCUGACACGCACUAAUUGCCCUGCAUCAGGCCAAGAGGAGAUGAAUGCUGUCAAGAAAACCACAAGUCAGACAAGCUGAUUCUCUCUUAGUCUGACACCGUGUUCCCAUGUACAGACCAGUUUUUACUGGAGCCCUUCCAGCAUCGAAAGCAGCUCUUCACCUUCCCAUUAAUUUCCAUCGCUGGCAGGCCCGGGUUGUCUGUGGCGCGCCGUUCCCAUCCCUCCUGCCUGCCGGCUCGAGAGCUCGGGUCUGCAGACGAGAUGUAAAUAUGUUUCUUGCUCUUAUCUUGGUCCUUUUCAAGAAAAGAAAUCCGUUCCCAUUCAAUACGAAUGCCCCGGUGGGCUUGUCAGUGAAUUACGUGGCAUUUGGGGAUUGAUUUUCUGACGCCGCCGAUUUGUCAAGACUUUCUCGUGCCGUUUCAGCGAUUCGACGGAACCUGUUGGACCCCCCGCAUCCUGUGGUCGGUCCUCUGGCCGCAAAGAAAAGGGAAGCGGGGCCCUGUUGCCUGGGCGUCUGGAAGCCUCCUUACAGGGCCCAAUUUUGAGGAAGGAAGGGAGGAUACUGGCGUUGCUGCAGGACAGCUGAGUCAUUCUGUCACUCCAGGACAAAAUCGCAGCCCGGGUCCAGUGCAGCGCCGGUCCCCAAAGAAGGCCGAGCGCCGCUCCGCCCGGGCAGCGCGCUGGGGAGGAGGGUCUGUGGCAGCAACAGCGCCCUUGCUGUCCUUGGCCACCCACCGCCUGCUCUCACGUCUUGGUCCUCUGGCGCCAGGCCCUGUGCCGGGGGGGAGGCUCCUGUAACAGGGAGGGAGCUGCCGGGCAGGCCUCUGCAGGAAGACGAGGCACAGCCCACUGAGUCCGGGCCAGACCAGCAUCUUCCGCAGCAGAAGCCGUGUCUGUCCCCGCCCUCCCGAGAGGCAGGCCGACUGGGCAUGGAGAGAUUGGCCCAGAAGGCUGGGAGCUGGGCUCCGGCUGUGGGACCCAGGGCCCGGUCCUGGAUGUCUCUGAGCCAGCAUCCCCGUCUGAGAAAGGUCCCCUGAGGGCCGCGGUGAAGUCCACACCAGGGCACGCCCAUUGCAGUGCCGCGCGUAUGGGCCUGGCAGCGUCACCCCCAAGGCUCGGGGUUUAGAUGAGAGGGUUCACGUGGCCUCGAGUUGCACGUGUCCAGGGCACAGUCAGUUGCUGAGAAAGGAACUGACCUACAGCAAGAGGCGGAUAAACCUAGCAAGAAAUGAGCAGAGCACAGCGAGCCAUUCCGUCCACUGACGGACUCAGGCCACCAGGUGCUCCCUGCUGGAGGGGGUGCCCGGAGCCACCCCACGCCGAUCUUUGGGGCUCCCCUGAUUAGCGAAGAUAUCCCUUACCAGAGAGCUCUUUUCCUGAAACGAAAAUGAAGUGACAAUGUGUGAUGGCUCUCAGAUACUGUCAGUGUGACUUAGUUGUAGGAAAAAAAAUCCUGAAGGAAACGGUGGGUGGACAUAAAGCCAGGCGCCCUCUCUGGUGUCCCUUCAGAACCUGCGCUUGGCAGCCCCUCCCUUUUAUCACCUUUUGACUUGGAAACUCAGGGCCUUUCUCUGUGCCCCGCCCACCACGGGUAGCCCUUCGUGCGCAUGUUUAGGAAGAAGCUGCAAAAGAAUCUGUNGGGCUCGCUGCUCUGAGCUGCUCUUUCCUUCUUGAUGGGAAGGAAAACAGCUUUCUUGAUGACCUGAUGGCCUUCAGAGUCCCUGGAGGCCCCACCUCCCCCCAGGGCAGUGGACAGAGGGGCCCCCGACUCCCCCACCAUGAGGGUGUCCGGGAUUCGAAAGUCAGGGGUGAAAGCUUUGCAGACCUCCUCGGCCCCGCUGGUUCUGGGCUUUGCACGUGACAGCAGCUCUGCUCGGUGGUUGCCGCCUCGGUCGUUUAAUUCGUGCGUAGCCCCCGAGUCCCUGGAAACCGGGACUCCAGAAUCCAGAUCAGCAACCAGUUCCAAAGCUCAGCCUUGCGGGCUCAGCUCGCCAGUUUUAGGCAGUGAAGAGGAUGGCUGUUAUUUAAACUUCGUAUGUCACUGAUUUUUCAUAUGUAGGAGUGGCACUCAUCACCUUUUUUUUUUUAAUCAAGUUAUUUAUAUCAUGGGGCGAGUCUGUCACACGGUCUGAACGCAGAACGUUGCCAUCCUUGUCAUCAGAAUCCUGCCAGUAAUUUCUGUUUACAGUAGAGCUAUUGAAAAGUAUAUUGGGAUGAAACAUAAGUUGUUGGCUUGCGUGAGGUUUUUAUAAUGUGCACAUACAGAUAAAGUUGGCUUUCGUUCCGAAGGCUGUGUCUCGUUCUUGUUGCGCUUUUAUUAGCUAAAGUGGCAGGGUCCCCACGGCCCCCCGUGGCCUGCCAGGUGCCACUGGGAAAUAGGGGGAAUGGGGUCCCCAGCUGUGGACCUCGGCAUCCCGCCUUAUCUGUAGAGUCGUCCUGUUGGGAGUCUAGAAACUUCUGAUUGCAGAACUCCUUUUUCCUCUCCAUCUCCUUCCAUAAUUGCUGCAGGUCAUCGUUGAACCGCCCCCCCCCCCGGCCCCCCCCAGGGUAGGAGCCCCACGGAGCCCCUGGGCCGGCAGCGGGCAGGCUUCCGCAAGGGAGCCAAACAGCCCACAGGCGGGGCUUUGAGACAAAACCCCACGUGGUGGUCAGUUUCAUGGAUUACAGUUAAUUCUGUUUAAUGUCCUUUUUCCUUCCUUUUUGCCAAGUCCUGUGCCUUAUUAGAACAUCGACUUUAGCAUAGAAGUGCUUAAAACUUAUUUGGCGCUUCGAUAGAUGUGACACCACAAACGUCGGAUAAACGGGAUUUGUUCUAAUGAGAUCUUAGUGAUUCUUGGCCGUUCCUCCCGCCUCUUGUGGAAUCCUGGCCCGUCCCCCGCCUAGUUCUGGUGGUGCUGGAGCGGCCAGAAGGCCCCUCUCUGGAAGCCUUCCUCACUUCCUCACUGGGUUUCAGGCCCCGUGAAGCACUGCCCCCUCCCCUCCCCUCCCUGUGCCCUCUGCUCCUGGGCCUAUUUCUGUGAUUUGCAUGUAGCGGAAAUAUUUGUUGAACGGAAUUAUUUUUACACAUGGGCCUUUCAUGUGGCCACCGUUUGAGGUCUGUUUCCUUUGGCUGGAGGCUGGGAGAAGCCUUCCAGCGCCCCGGGAGUGCCAGUGGCUCCAGGUACAGGAUGCCCUGCUCGGGGCUGGAUGUGCCUUGUCUCCCCUGGAGGACCCCCAGCUGGGGGUGGGAGGCUGAGCGCCCCCAUCUCCCCCGUCCCCACUGCAGCGUUCAGGGCCUCUAGGAGGCCUGCGGAUUGACCCUUUUGGGGCACUGAGGGGAGGGGGAGAGGGGGGACUCAGAGCGGGAGGGAUCUGCCCAGGGGACCCCUGACCACAGGCCCCUUGUCCUUAAAGGCCCCAGUCUCGCUGUCGAGAUUUCCUUUUGGUUUCUCAUCAGUUAUUGAAGAAAUACCUAUGUUUUCCGAGGGUCUGUCGCCCGGCCCUUUCUGAUGAGGCUGUGGGCGUCAAGGACGAGUAGGCCCGGCUCGCCCUUCGAGUACCUCCUCUGGGUCGGGGCUGCUCCGAGGGCAUCACACCUUCUCACUCAGCCAGUCCUCGCCAGCUUCGUUCACAGAGGGGCCGGUGCUCAGCGGGCCCCGUGUCCCCAUCCCCCUGGGGAGGGAAGAUGAGCCCGGAGAGGCAGGAGGAGGGUUUCCUGAGCCUCCCAGCUCCUGUGGACCUGAGCCCGCUGUGCUGAGGACCUUCUGGAAUGUCACUCCCCCCCCCGGGGACCCUCUAGUGACCCAACACCCCCGAGAUGCUGCAGCGUCGUCGUCGUGGAGGGAGCCGCCUGGCUCUCCUUCCUCCCACGGCCUCUGGGUCACUUUGUCCUGCUGCCAUUUGGAGGCAGCUUGAGGCUCACAAGCACUUUCUGGCCCGCAGGGUCCUAUGCUGCUCCCCAGUGACAACGGAGCCCCUGGACACAGCCGCACCACCGCCCCCGCCCAUCCCAGCUGCAGGUCAGAGAAAGCACCUGUGCCCAGGAGCCCGUGUUCUUGCACCACAGGGAGUCACCUUGGGGCUGGAGGGCACCGCAGGUGCAGCUUUAGAGGGGCUCUGCUGGCAGAAAUUUCUAGGAGGCACAGCUCUGAGCGGGCAGCAGAGAUGCUAGGGCCAGUUCCUCUCCUCUUCCUGACACGGGCAAUAUCUCACCUCUCUUUUCAGCUGCUCGCUCCUCGUCCCCUCUCUUUCUGGACUCUGCGCUCACAAAGAGGGCAAGAGCCCCCGGCACACUGGGGUCAGUGUCAGGCCCACUCGCAGGAACCCAAGGCUGUCCCCUGAUCCUGAUGGGGGCCUCUGGGAGCUGAUAGGCAGGGCGGAGUCCAAACUGCCAUGUGCACAGGCCAGGAAAACAAGUGUCCGGCUCUGGGACUUGGUCUCCUGAGGCGUUUCUUGCUCUUCCUACCCAGGGAAUGAAAAGCCAGGUCCUACCACUUUGGUGAUGAAAAUGACCUUUAUUUUGCCUGGGAGCUUACAAGUUUUAGGUGUCCAGUGUGUGCAUGCAGCUAUCACGGAUGUGUGCUCCCUCCAGACACGUCCAGUGCCAGGAAACUGACGUGUGAAGUUGAAUUUAGGGACUGAAAGGCUAAAGCUCAUUGAAGGUUGAGUCAGUAAGUUCAGGCAGUAAACAUUUCUGAGUGUUUUCCUUGAACCUGGCACUUUGCUUGUCUCUUUUAAUUCCAUGGGCUAAUAAAAUGAAAUCCAUAUUUGCUUAGAAAUAUCUGUAUACUCGUAUUUACUCAUAAAUAAAGGUAGGAGUUCCUGUCGUGGCUCAGUGGUUAAUGAAUCUCACCAGGAACCAUGAGGUUGCGGGUUCGAUCCCCGGCCUCGCUCAGUGGGUUAAGGAUCUGGCGUUGCCAUGAGCUGUGGUGUAGGUCACAGACAGGGCUCGGAUCCCGUGUUGUUGCGGCUGUGGUGUAGGCCGGCAGCUACGGCUCCGAUUGGACCCCUAGCCUGGGAACCUUCACAUGCCGCGGGUGCGGCCCUAGAAAAGGC